rnacentral:rRNA from 1 species
AUGAGACAUUUGCCAUCAUCUAUGUGGAAGCUACAAAAGUUAAUGGUCAUCAGGGUUUCUUCUCGCUGCUAUUGGCACCCUGGUGUAUUGGGUAACCUGGCUUCUUUGGAAGUAGUCGAGGGGAUCUAUGCCUCUCCGAGCACGGUGCAAGAGCUUGGCUUCCUGGCAAGGCUGAGGAAGCUCGACAUUUACUUCUUUGAUUGGAGCCUCGAGGUAGAGGAAACUUUUGUGGAGACUAUAUACAACCUGCAUGAUAUCAGAAGUCUACGUAUUGCCUGCGACGAUGUACCAUACUUGGAUCUCUUGGGGGGACGCUGGGAACCCCCUCGAUGCCUUUGCAAAUAUACUUUCACAUCAGACCAUAUCGCAUGCUCUGGAUUGCCGAUGUGGAUAACAAAAUGUGGCCCCUCACAUCUAUCAAACCUAUCAUCGUUUCAUAUCAGAGUCAAGGAUGUGCAGCAAGAGGAUGUGCAAAUCCUUGGGAGGUUGCCAACUCUUCGCCAUCUCUGGAUAAGCAGCACCCACCAAACAAAAAGGCUGCUCGUCAUCGGUGCAGAUGAGUUCCGUUGUGUGAUAGCCUUUGGAAUGCAUUGUGAGCCAGCCAAUCAGGUAGUCUUUCAACAAGGAGCAUUGCCAAAUGCAGAAUAUGUCCGAUUUAAUCUGGGUGUGCGGGUGGCCAAAGAAGAUGGUGACAGCGAUCUGUUUGAGCUUGGCUCGGGUAACCUUCUCUCACUUCAGGGUGGAUUAGUUGAAAUCCAUUGGGAUGGGGUCACCAUUAAGAAGCAUGUGCCGCAGUGA